rnacentral:piRNA from 1 species
UAGACUAUAAAUCUUAGAAAG